CGCUGCCUGUGGGGCUGGGGAAGCAGAGGGGAAUCUACCUAUCACCACUGUGUCCUCGCAGCCCACUCAGGCAGCCUGAGCCAACCAGAGGGAGCCACAGGCAUCAUCCUCAGCAGUGCAGCCAAGGAAGAAUGCCAUCCUUACUGAAAUUCAAUAAUAACUGCCACCUGCCACAUGAACCCUCAAGCUUCCAGUUCAGACUCAGAGGCGUCCCUUAGCAGACCAGACUGGGAUUCAAAUUUAAGCAGACCACAAAAUGUGCCUACAGUCUUCCCUCCCCCAGUCUGCCCUUCCCAGCCUGAGGAAUCUGGACCUCCACACGCAGAUUGGCUAGCUCUGGAAAGAGAGGGAGGGGGAGCAGAGAGUGGGUUGCCAUGACAAUAGCAGCCAAUCAGAUAUCUGCUGCUACUGAAAGAGGGAAAGGUGGUCUGAGUGGCUCUGUCUGUGAGGGAGGAUGGAAUGGAGGAAAGGGAAAGAUGAAGAGACAGGUCAUCACUACCCAAGGCAAAGAACAGGGUGGAGGAGAGAAGUGGGCAGAGGGUUGCUCCUUUUCUAGAAUUAUCUAACAUUGCUUGAGUGACAGGCUAUGAU